UACAGGGGGGUGCAAACGUUGCUCGGAAUUAUUGGGCGUAAAGCGCGCGUAGGCGCCUUUUAAGUCGGAUGUGAAAGCCCUCGGCUCAACUGGGGAAGUGCACCCGAAACUGAAAGGCUUGAGUACUGAAGAGGGGUCGCGGAAUUCCCAGUGUAGAGGUGAAAUUCGUAGAUAUUGGGGAGGAACACCAGCGGCGAAGGCGGCGACCUGGUCAGAUACUGACGCUGAGGCGCGAAAGCGUGGGGGAGCAAACAGG
rnacentral:rRNA from 1 species